rnacentral:misc_RNA from 1 species
GGAUAGACCUGACGGUCAUAAUCCAUAAAUUUAAAGUAGAUCCUGACCGCAAGCCGAUAAUAACCAGUAAAAAGGUGGCUGAGAUCAUAUGCGAUAAGCCCAUAUUGACUUGUAGUCCUAGAUCACGUGGUACCCAUACGCUCAGAUUAGUAAUAGGAAGAGAAUGGGUCUCUCGGCCUGAUGCCUCUGGAAUUGAAGGUUAUCUUUCUAGAGGCUCACGUGGCGGCAUGGUGAGAGGACUCGUACAAAGGUAUCUGUAAAGGGA